AGGCUCUACAUCAAUUUUUCUUUGACUAUAGAUUUUUUUCGUUUCUGGUUCAGAAAGCUUUUGAUUAAUUUGGGCUUUAAUGUAUUUCAAAGUAAAAUUACAUGUUAAUACGUAGUAUUAAUGGCGAGACUCCUGAGGGAGCAGUGCCAGUCGAAGACAGGGGCCCCAACACAGAAGCUGACAUAUAGUCAGCUUACAACAAUGUGCCGGUUGGGGUGGCUGAGACGGCACCAUAGGAAGGGACCCGUCAUCAAAAAUUCUAUUUAUAGAAUUUUACAGUAAUGUGCCAGACGGGCAAAGCGAAGCCAUUCAAUACGAAGUAUUGUAUAAAUAGAGAACAGCAG
rnacentral:ncRNA from 1 species